GAUGAAGAACGUAGCGAAAUGCGAUACGUAGUGUGAAUUGCAGAAUUCAGUGAAUCAUCGAAUCUUUGAACGCACAUUGCGCCCUCUGGUAUUCCGGGGGGCAUGCCUGUUCGAGCGUCAUUAUAACCACUCAAGCUCUCGCUUGGUAUUGGGGUUCGCGGUUUCGCGGCCCCUAAAAUCAGUGGCGGUGCCUGUCGGCUCUACGCGUAGUAAUACUUCUCGCGAUUGAGUUCGAUAGGUCUACUUGCCAGUAACCCCCAAUUUUUACAGGUUGACCUCGGAUCAGGUAGGGAUACCCGCUGAACUUAAGCAUAUCAAUAAGCGGAGGA
rnacentral:misc_RNA from 1 species